UAAAAAAUGAGUAUUUUGUUAAAAAAGUGGAAUGUGGGUAAAUUGUAGCCGGUUAUAAGUGGAGUGGAACUCGCGUCAUUUGUAACUUCUUCUAUGUGACGGUCUCAUAGCCCGUUUCCAGUUUCAUUCCUCGUUCAACAUUGUCAAUCUACAAUCAUCUUCUCGUUGUCAAUCAGAGUCAGGUUUCUCUAACGCCAGGUUCAAUCGGCCAUUACCUGCUUGAUCUCGCAACGAUGUCAGAACAACCUUUUAGACCCCGAGAGCUUCUCCUUGAGAAGCAAAAAUAUUUCCAAAACAUCCAUAGGCACACAUAUCUGAAAGGACCUUAUGACAAGAUCACUUCUGUCGCCAUUCCUUUAGCUUUGGCAGCCAGUUCAUUGUAUCUUAUUGGUCGGGGAAUUUACAAUAUGUCCCAUGGGAUAGGAAAGAAGGAAUGAGGAGGCUGAUGGGCUACAUGUUUUCUGUUUUCUGCUUAUAUUUUAAAGGACGUUGUUUGUUUUCUGCUACAUUUUACAGGCUACUAAGUUUUUUUUGUUUAGUGCCUCCAAUAAUUGCGUAGUUGCAGACACGUAGCUACCAAUGGAAGCUGACACUGCAAUGUCGAUGGUUGCAUUUUCUGAAUCGUUAAUAAUUCAUCUUUGAAGAUUAAAUGUGUCAGUUUUUUCUCAUUGAUAAACUAUGCGAGACAAGUCUUUUGUUUUCUCUACUUUGUGUGCCUAUAAAGUGUCAAUUUCUUGGCUUGAAGGCAUGGAAAUACGAGUAUAACUAAGCUUUUCUCUUGA